GCAGCUUGUGGUUCAUGUGGUGUGUGCUGGAGUAGUGACACAGAGGCGGCUGUGUUUCGUAAUAUUAGACCAUGUUGGAUGGAAUGAAUGGCUUGAGUGAGGGUUGAGUGAUUUGACUGAAUGAUGUGUGCAGUACAGGAAUGGAAAUAAGACUCCCAUUGCAUAGCAGGUUGGUCCGUUCCUGGUUUUGCUACGAGUUUAAUAAGACACACCUGAGCUUGUAACCUAUACAGCUGGGCUAAUUAAAACCUGGAAUGGGUGAAACUGCUAUGCAAUAUGAGUCUUAUUUCCAUCCCUGCAGUAGCAUGAAAGUAAGUUAAGGGUGCACAUUACUGUUUUUUUGUUCACAUUUCACACACACACAAAACAUUGAUUUUAUUACAGAUAUACAUCCACAAUUAAACUAUACCCCUGUAUUGUUGCUCAGGAAGUUUUCUUCUGUUAUUUUCUUGACUUCUUUAUAGCUGCAGGUUUACAGCAGUUCUUGCUCUGUUAUUUUAUAUAGUUUGACAGAUAAUCACAACUAGGGAUGCCAUUUGUCCCCAUUAUUCCAAGACAUUUUAAGACAAGUCAUUUGUUUUACUCCCCGAUAAACUUUUGAACUGCUUCAUUAAAAGGUUCUGCUGGGCAGUGAUUCCAUCCGGAGAGUAUUGUAUAUGGAUUAAAAUCCUACUGCCUGAAAAUGUAUGUGGUAAAAAUAUAAAUAUUGUGCAGUUCUCUGGGUUUAAAGUCAAUUUUUAUUUAUUUAGUUUUUAACAUAUUGUUUAAAAUUUAAAAUAGUUAAAAAAUAAGUCAUUAAUAAUGUAGCAAUGCAUUGAAAACAAGGGCACAUUUUAACAUUUUGUAAAGGUAAUUGUGCACACUUUUGACAGUGCAUUCACUCAUUCACUCAAAUCAGGACUACAACUCUUAUCAAAACUGCCACACUGGUCCCAUAAUAACCUGAAACAAAUGACAUUAUUCCAUUGUAUUCAUUGAUUUUCUGAGGCAUCUUCACACAGUACCUAUUUAAACAGCUAUCCUGUGCCUUUAACGGUGUUACAUGGACUCCAUUGACCUUUGUGCUUGACAUGCGUUCAUUCUGUGAUUCUCUCUGUAUAUAUUUUGCUCUAUUGCUAUUUUCACAAUUUUACAUAAACCUCUUUAUUUGCCGCCAUAACCUUUGAAUACCUGGGUCUGAAAAACAGUACAUUUCAAGAUGUUGCCGGUAGGUAUUUUAUCAGUUAUUAUAAACACGGUUACAGUUUAUUGUAAAGUUAAAAAUUUAGGUACUUCUGUUUUGGUAAGGGAGAACAUUUAUAAAUCCCAACACAACAAUUUAGGGAGAUCAGUGAUUUCUCAAACAACAAGGUAAGAAAUAUGAUUCCAUACUUUAGUUUUUAUAAAUUUUUUUCAAAUGUUUUUUUUAUUAUACCACACGAUUUGUGCAUUUUUCUAUUAACAAUGUUCUAAUUGUGUCUCUUCUUAGUUUGUCACUGUGGAAUUGUGUCAUUGGGGAGAUGUUGAAGCAGAUCAGGAGCAUUACAGUGACGUUUCUGACUGGUGUGCAAGAAAUUAUGAGGCUGCGUGUAACUCGACUCUGGAGAAGAGGAGAUUGUGGAAGAAGUGGAGGGGGAGGAGGCAUUCAGUAAGCCCAUUGUUGAAGACAGGAACUUGGAGUUUGCCAAGAAGUGUAGCGAGUUGAUAAGUGAUGUGAAGUGUAAAGAAGAAUAUGAAAAGUCCAAGGGCAGGUACAGUUUCGGUCCUGACACUCCUCAGUUUCAGCAUGUGAAAAAUCUUGGUGAUUUCAUUUCUUAGAGCAAAUACAAAGAAGCUGGCAAAAAAGAAUUUUACAAUUGUCUUUAUGCACAGAUGUCCAAAACCAGUAAAACACAAUUUGCCAAAGAGUUGUCUCAGAUU